rnacentral:rRNA from 1 species
CGGGGGAACGUCGGGCCGGCGGCGGGGGUGAGGCGGGGAGGCCGAGCGGUGUUCGGAAGCAUGGGGCGUAAAGCUGUUGCAGGUGGUUUUGUAAGUUGGAGGUGAAAGCCUUGGGCUUAACCCAAGAAGUGCAUUCAAAACUGCAGAACUUGAGUAAGGAAGAGGGUCGUGGAAUUCCUGGUGUAGUGGUGAAAUACGUAGAUAUCAGGAGGAACACCGGUGGCGAAGGCGGCGACCUGGUCCUAUACUGACACUCAUACACGAAAGCGUGGGGAUCAAACAGGAUUAGAUACCCGGAGUC